rnacentral:rRNA from 1 species
AGUGAACGCUGGCGGUAGGCCUAACACAUGCAAGUCGAACGGCAGCACAGUAAGAGCUUGCUCUUACGGGUGGCGAGUGGCGGACGGGUGAGGAAUACAUCGGAAUCUACUUUUUCGUGGGGGAUAACGUAGGGAAACUUACGCUAAUACCGCAUACGACCUACGGGUGAAAGCAGGGGAUCUUCGGACCUUGCGCGAUUGAAUGAGCCGAUGUCGGAUUAGCUAGUUGGCGGGGUAAAGGCCCACCAAGGCGACGAUCCGUAGCUGGUCUGAGAGGAUGAUCAGCCACACUGGAACUGAGACACGGUACAGACUCCUACGGGAGGCAGCAGUGGGGAAUAUUGGACAAUGGGGGCAAGCCUGAUCCAGCCAUACCGCGUGGGUGAAGAAGGACUUCGGGUUGUAAAGCCCUUUUGUUGGGAAAGAAAAGCAGCAGGUUAAUACCCCGCUGUUCUGACGGUACCCAAAGAAUAAGCACCGGCUAACUUCGUG